ACUCUUGGGUGUGGCACAGCCAGGAGAUGGUUGACCUGCCAGGUUAUGCUGUUAAAAAAGACUCUGCAUCUCAAUGCCAUCCUCAAUGCCAGAGUUCUCCUACCUAUCACCAGCAGCUCCCCAGCUAGAACUGGGGCUCCUUGCUUCCCCCCACCCUGCUUCCUAUUCUAUCCAGUGAUUCUCAACCCCGUGUGUUAGGUAUGUGUUGGGGGGGGGGGGUUGUGGCAUAACGCAGACAGAGAACAAGCAUUAUCUUGCUUCUUAGUGGGCUACUGGAAGGACUUAGGCGCACCACUCUUCAUGCUGCUCAGGUCACGGCGGCUGAAGCCUUCCAAAUAUGGCUCCCCGGUCCCCAUCUUUUACUUGUCUCUCUAGACUGAGCUGUGUGCUUUCUGCUCUGUGGGAAAGCCAUGCUUUCUGAAACAUACAGUUCCAUGAGAGGCCAGGUUCAUAGUAUCUACCUGGGGUAAGCUCCCUUCACAAACACUCCACAUUUCUAAAGCAAGUUUACAUACAACUCCAGGUUAAACUAUAUGGUGGCUAUCUUUACUUAUUCAGGGACAAGUUAAUGCAGCGUCAACCUGACACUUCAGACAGGAUUAGGGACAUUAUGCAGAAGAAUUUAAAGAACACAGCACACACACGUUAACCAAGUAGAUUUAAUUUCCCUGAGAUUUUUACCCCAUAAAAUGAUGUAAACUCCAUUCACCAGACCAGUGGUUGCCCAAGUUUUCUGUGUAAGCAAAUUGCCUACAUGGCUCCUCAAAGUGACCCUCAGCAGGAAUAUGCUGGGGCUGGAGCAUGAGCGUAUCCCAGGACGUGAUGGUCUAGGGACCGCACUUUGAACAAGACACCAGCCAAGAUGAGAUGUGAGCAACUGUCUACCAGAAGGCAGAGCAGAAAAAAGACCAUCACGUUAACAAAUUCCUAAAGCCACUAAUAUAGGGUAACGGGUGUUUCUCUAGAUACUGGUGGUUCUGGGUUGUCAGUAUCUCCGUGUAUCUUAUCAAUUUUAAAGUCUAAGUUUGUUUCACUUAAAAAAUAAAGUGCUACGGUUUUAAGAAUACAAACAUGGCUUCUAUAAGCAUCUGAAAGAAAAGUCCACUGACUUUGAGAGCCUAGCCUUGGUAGAAGCACUUCUGAAACCUUACUUCAUGACAUCAUACCACCAGUCCAAUCACUGUCGCUCUAGGGCCCAUCUCUGUGACAUUCAGAUGCUGUAUGAGGAUGUGGCCACCGGCACCACGCUUUGGUCCCUUAAGAGUUCUUGGCGCCUGUGUUAAAUUCAGAGUGGAAACAGCUUAAAAGUGAAUUGGUUUUUUCACAGCCAGAGAGGAAAAUAUACUUCCAACAGUCAUAAAUAUUUGAGUUUAUCCCACAUACAACAUCUAAAACUAUGAAAACACCCUUUUUUUCUGAUUUAUAAACAGUAAACAUUAGAGUUAUGAAAAAUUAGUGAAGAAUCACUCACAAUUACAUGUGUGUUAGGUUGAAAAUGGGCAUCGCACACUAAAGGAAUAGUCAAGAGGGUUAUAUGGAAUGUGGAUUCUGGGUCUGUGAUCCCAGAAGUUGGGGCUCUGGAGGGGCUAUCCAAAGCCCAAUGUGCCUGAGUCCCAAAGAGGAGAGAAGGCAGCCCCAAAAGUUGUUUGUUCCUAGUGCAGUCUGACUCCUGAGAGGAGGGAAAGGUUGUGUACCCUAAUUGCAAUCAGUAGGUUUAAGGGCCAUGUACAGUUAACUAUUAAAAACAGUGCAAUCUGCAAUUUUUACUUUAAUCAAAACUAUCAUGCAUCACUGGUCCUCUCCCCUCCAUGAGAAAUGGCUACAGGGGCUGAGAAGCCCACAGGUCUGACUUCAUUGAGGUCUGCGCAUCUGAAUGUCUGGGGGAAAGGGCUCAGCAUCUGAUGUUACCAGGGUUUAAAUAAAGCAGCUGCGUUGGUUGGUCUCUGGGAUUUGGGCAGAGAAGCUGCUUGGCUUCUGGGAUUAUGGGGAGGUACAUUCCAGACAGGUGACCAGUCCACGAUUAACACGGAGGCUUCUCUCCACAUUCCCGCUCCCACCUCUUGUAGCAUGCUGCCUUUCCCUACGAGCUAAUGUUAACUCCACUGUGCCCAGGUGGGAAGAGAAGCAAGCCUCUCAGGCAAGCUUCUGACAUGGGGCAGGGCUGUGCUCAGUCUAAACUUCCCUAUCUGCGGCUGACUUCUGAUUGGUCUGGUGGCAUGCCUGUGCAGAUGAGGACCGGGGUCAGCCAUGUGGGAAUAACUACACUUGGACCACUCACUGUCUCUUAAGUGCCCAUUUUUGACCCAGAGUUGCCUGGCUCUACACCCGCUUCUCCAAGUAGUCCCAAUCCUACUCCCGUUUGAGGCUCUUACUCCCAUCCCCACUGAAGGGAGGUCUGUUUAGAGUCAUGAUUAAAAUAGCCACCAGGGCUAAAGCAGCACCCAGGCUUGGGGGGCCACAGGGACUGAUCUCCUGGGCCACUCCAGAGAGGAGGGGGGCAAGGAUGCGGCCCACUGCAGUCACGGACUGGCCCACACCUAUGAUGGUGCCGCUGGUCUGGGCUCCGCCCACACUCAACUGGAGGUCCGUGAUGCAGGUUCUGCCAAUAGUGGUGGAGAAGGACAGAAGUGUCGAGGAGAAGACCACCAUGGCCAUGGAGCCAGUCGUGGAGUAGACUACCAGCAGCAGGCAGCAAUAAAACCCUAAGAAAUCUGCUAUGCGGUGCUAUGGGCAAGGGAAAGAUGCCCUCCCCCAUUCAUUGCCCUCGCCUCCUGCAGUGGGUAGGAGAGCUGGGCAUGCCCCUCACCUGCUGCAGCAUUCAGAAGAAUGGACCUUAUGUGGCCAGCACCAUAGAGUUGGUCCUGGUUGCGGGGGAUGCAGAAACACAUCAAGCCUUCUAGCCAGAUGACAGAGCUAGUCAGAGAAUGUUGGAGUCAUUGUACCUGCAGCUUCGUCAGCCUGCCUGCUCUUCUUUCUCUUCCUACAGUUUAGAGCAUCCCUAACUUGAAUGUUAGGGAGAUUUAACAUUUUUAAAAGAUGUGUUAUUAUUUUAUGUGUGAAUAAGAUAAAAUAAAAUAAAAUAUAGGACAUUGUAUUCCCUGGAGACGGAGCCACAGGCAGUUGUGAGCUGUGCUGUGGUGCUAAGAACUGAACCUGGGUCCUCUGAAAGAGCAGAGAGAGCUCUCAACUGCUGAGCCCUCUCUUCAGUGCAUGCCUAUUUACUGUCUUAAAAGCCUG
rnacentral:lncRNA from 1 species